rnacentral:rRNA from 1 species
CCUACGGGGGGCAGCAGUGGGGAAUAUUGCACAAUGGGCGCAAGCCUGAUGCAGCCACGCCGCGUGAGGGAUGACGGCCUUCGGGUUGUAAACCUCUUUCAGUACAGACGAAGCGCAAGUGACGGUAUGUACAGAAGAAGCACCGGCCAACUACGUGCCAGCAGCCGCGGUAAUACGUAGGGUGCGAGCGUUGUCCGGAAUUACUGGGCGUAAAGAGCUCGUAGGUGGUUUGUCGCGUUGUUCGUGAAAACCUGAGGCUUAACCUUGGGCGUGCGGGCGAUACGGGCAGACUGGAGUACUGCAGGGGAGACUGGAAUUCCUGGUGUAGCGGUGGAAUGCGCAGAUAUCAGGAGGAACACCGGUGGCGAAGGCGGGUCUCUGGGCAGUAACUGACGCUGAGGAGCGAAAGCGUGGGGAGCGAACAGGAUUAGAUACCCUUGUAGUC